rnacentral:lncRNA from 1 species
AUGCCGAGGAAGAAGAACUGGCGGAAAGGGCGUGAUCACUUGGCUGCUGCUCCAAUAUGUAGCGCCUUGUCUGAUUUUUCUCUAUCCACUGAUCCCCACUCUACCCCUUGCGAUAUCCCAUCUUCCUCUUCAUCCCCCACCCCAAGCUUCAUCUACUCUGAUUUUCCUCCUCUUCCGACCUCUCGGUCAUCUAUCUUUAGGCCCUGUGAGUCUCUUUCACAGUCUGUGCCUGUUGUGAGCUGUGAUAAUGUAUCGCAGUCUCUUUCAAGGACCAGUGGAGCAUCGUUCACACUGCCUCUGCAAUCUAUAAGGUGUGCAGCCAUUGGGGCAUACUGUUCUCACGGUGAAACUCUCAGUAACCAAGAAAAAAAAAUGGAUACAAAACUGGCAAACUUUGGUACAAAACUGGCAAACUUUGGUACAAAACUGUGCAACACUGCAAACUUUGAAAUGAAACUUGAUACAACUCUUGCAAGCCUUGAAACAUACACUAUUGUAAUACCUGAAGAAAAGAAAACUAUCAAAAGUCAUUCAACAAACUCUGUUGAAUACAUGAACAGUGGUGAGCUGUCCAACACCGUGCCUCCAAGCUGUCAUAACAGGUAUAUACAAGGAUCUUUUCAUCAAGGACAUGUGAUGUUUGAAGAUAAUGCAGGUGUACAAUGUGUGGCAAACAGUUUAACAGCAAUGUUGAUGAAUAAACUGAAAGAUGUGUGCACGUGGCAAAGUAGUGACCUUGAUAAUAUUCUUGUGAAUGGAAACAUGCUUUAUACGUCAGUAAAGAACUGCAAUCAGGGAAACCAUACUCAUCUUUUGGUAAGUGAUUUGCCAAAGUCUCAUGUGUUGCAUAAUGUUGAUUUUACAAUUAAUCUUGGACAAGCGUUUAGUGGCAUAGUAGGAGUACAUGAAUAUGAUUUAGAGUUGGCAGAUAUGGCAAUAAGCCUUUAUGAAGCACUGCAGAGAGUAUUACUAGGAGAUGACAGCUGUUUUUUGACAAUGAAUGAAAGUACUUGUGCCAUUAUUAAACACACCAGUGGUUAUGCAGUAUUUGACUCUCACUCACGCAGCUAUGAUGGCCUUGUUCAUCCAACAGGAAAAAGUCUUGUGUGUUUCUAUCAAACUUUUGAGGAUAUGUACAGUCAGCACAUUAAUAGGCUUGCAAGUUCAAUGAAUGCCCCUGGAAAACAUUUUGAGGUAACUGGAAUCAGCGUAACAAUGAGAAGUGAAGACGGCAACACUACAGCACUACACAGGUCUAGUAGACGGAAACGCAAUGCCAGGAAACCACAAGUAAUGACAGAGGUGUUUGUUGAUGGGAAUAUUCAUGUUCCCGAGAGUACUUUCAAAACACAAACUGUGUGUGGUCAUGCAUUGCCAUCACAAAAUGAGAAUUUCUUGUGUGAAAACCAUAGGCCUAUCAAUGUUACUAGUGCUGAAAGACUUUUGACAACAAAAGGGAUUGAUCUAACUGUAGACAACAACAGUGAGUGUAUUGAACACAAUGUUGAACAGAGUAAGAAUGCUGAUGAUGUUGUUGUUGGUGAUGUGACACUGCCAACAUGGACGUUUUCUCCCUUAACAUUUAUCAAUCAAACUGCGUUAUGUUCACAGUUAGAUUUGCAAAAUGUAAAUGAUAACCAUGAUUCAACCAUGAUUCAACAAUGCACAGUAUUAAGUUGUCCAUGUGAAUCAAAAGCUAUUAGAAAAGAUGGAAAUUGCUUCUUCCGGUCACUGGCUUUGGCAAUUUGCGGCACUGAAAGCCCUCACAUGAAAAUUCGAAAACAAGUGGUAAGACACUUAAUGAAAAAUGAGGAAACUUUUCAAAGGUUUCUGAGAAGUGAAUACACCUCUGUAGAACAUUACAUAAAGUCUUCACGAAUGAUGUAUGCAAACACGUGGGGCACUGAAUUGGAAAUUUUAAGUGCUGCAGAUCUAUUCCAUACUGACAUAUACACAUUUAAUUCUAAUCGCUGGAACAUGUACAAAAGUGUUUCAAGAACAAGUGACAAUGCCAUAUAUUUGAACCAUGUCAAUGGAAACCAUUAUGAAUUGGUAACAUGUGUAACAGAUACACAUUGUGAAAGUGGAUGUGCAUCAUUGUGCCAAGCAAAAAAAGCAAUGCUAAAGUGUAAUGUCAAUUUGAGGAAAAGGUUAACAACUGGUAGAAUACAACAUUGUCAAGAUAAAGCUGCUAAUAAGAAGCACAAAUACCAGAAUGAUAUUCAAUUUCAACAAAAUUGCAUUAUGUUGCAACAGAAAUUAUAUGCGACAGAUGAUCAAUACAGAAUAAACAAAUUGCAGUCCAGCCAAGAUCAGUACAGAACAGAUGCAGACUUUCAAACUAAAGUUAAAGAAUACAGUAAGAGGAAAUACAAAUGUGAUGCAGACUUUCAAACUAAAGUUAAAGAAUACAGUCAGAAGAAAUACAAAUCGGAUGCAGACUUUCAAACUACAGUUAAAGAGUACAGUAAAAAAAAAUACAAAUGUGAUGCAGACUUUCAAACUAAAGUAAAAGAAUCUAGCAAGAAGAAAUACAAUUCUGAUAUUGACUUUCAAAGCAGUGUUAAAACACACAGCAGCCAAACAUAUAUUGCUAAGAAAAAUCAGACAUAUUCCAUGGAUUUUGUCAUUGAAUCUUUUAGAAAAAGUGUCAAAACAGGCCCUGAAUUUGUUUGCUCAGUAUGUCAUCGCCAGCUUUUUCGAAAGCAAGUCAUUGAAUGUAAACAUGAUAAGUACACAACCAGUCCAACUGUACUUGCUUUGGCUAAAAAGUGCAUUACAGAAACAUAUUUACAAACUUGUGAAGAA